UACGUAGGGCGCAAGCGUUGUCCGGAAUUAUUGGGCGUAAAGAGCUCGUAGGCGGCUUGUCGCGUCGACCGUGAAAACUCGCAGCUCAACUGCGAGCCUGCGGUCGAUACGGGCAGGCUAGAGUUCGGUAGGGGAGACUGGAAUUCCUGGUGUAGCGGUGAAAUGCGCAGAUAUCAGGAGGAACACCGGUGGCGAAGGCGGGUCUCUGGGCCGUUACUGACGCUGAUGCACGAAAGUGUGGGGAUCAAACAGG
rnacentral:rRNA from 1 species